UACGUAGGGUGCUAGCGUUGUCCGGAAUUAUUGGGCGUAAAGGGCUCGUAGGCGGUCUGUUGCGUCGGUAGUGAAAACUCAGGGCUUAACCCUGAGCCUGCUUCCGAUACGGGCAGACUAGAGGUAUGCAGGGGAGAACGGAAUUCCUGGUGUAGCGGUGAAAUGCGCAGAUAUCAGGAGGAACACCGGUGGCGAAGGCGGAUCUCUGGGCCAUUACUGACGCUGAGGAGCGCAAGCGUGGGGAGCGAACAGG
rnacentral:rRNA from 1 species